rnacentral:rRNA from 1 species
GACGAACGCUGGCGGCGUGCCUAAUACAUGCAAGUCGAACGCAGUGGGGACGGGUGCGUAACACGUGGGUAACCUCCCAUCAGAGGGGAUAACACUUGGAAACAGGUGCUAAACCGAUACUGAUGGAUGGACCCGCGGUGCAUUAGCUAGUUGGUGGGGUAACGGCUCACCAAGGCUACGAUGCAUAGGCGGCCUGAGAGGGUGAGCGGCCACACUGGGACUGAGACACGGCCCAGACUCCUACGUGAGGCAGCAGUAGGGAAUCUUCGGCAAUGGACGAAAGUCUGACCGAGAAACGCCGCGUGAGUGAAGAAGGUUUUCGGAUCGUAAAACUCUUUUGGUAGAGAAGCGGUAUCUAACCAGAAGGCCACGGCUAACUACGUGCCAGCAGCCGCGGUAAUUC